rnacentral:pre_miRNA from 1 species
UGCGUGCAUGGGGCUAUGACCUAUGGAUUGACAGCCAGUAUCGGAGCCUCGCCCUGGCUGUCUGUUCUAUAGGGCAUAGGACUGGGCGCAC